rnacentral:piRNA from 1 species
UACUGGUUUACACCCCAGAGUGGAAUGCUUC